UGAACAAAGAUAUUUAGUGAGCUUUAGAAAGAUAAAUACAAUGAAUUCUUAAUCCCAGCCAAGAUGUCUUCUAUUACAAUCUAUCUUGCCUUUUAUAGCCAAGGAUCACUACUUUAUCUAUAGCAACAUGAUGGAAUAAUAUUACUAGUGGAGGACCCAUGAUGGUGUGUCUCCUCCUUAAUUUCCGCAGAGAUUCUCUCCUUUGGUGCAGUUAUAACAGCUUUUUGUCUGUGAACUCGAUACCGACUCGAGCUCGGUAUCGGAUCGGAACCUCGGCCUUGGUUUCAAGCUAGGUGAUCACUUUCGGGCAUCGAUGUUCGGGACCUGUAUCGGUCGAUUCGAACGCCCCGAGCUCGACGCCCCCAUCUCGGAAUUCGUUCGGGGUCUCCAUGAAGAUACCCCUUGAUUGAAAUGCCAUCCUCGAUCGAUCUUCAUGACCGAGGAUCGGUUUUAACCAUAUACAGUGACAAUAAUUGAUAUACAAGAUUGGAGUACGUACUUUUUCAUAGACAUGAGAUGUUCUAGCAGUCACCAAAGGCGUAUUAUACAUGCCAGCUAUUAUAUGGACUAAUUGUGUAAUAUACUUUUCAUGUGUAUGUAGAAAUCUGGAAAAGUAGAUGAACAAAUUGCACUGUUGAAACAGAAGUUGAGACAGAUAUACCAAGGGCAAGUCUUCAAUGGUAAACCUACAAAAACUGCUCGCUCUCAUGGAAAGAAGUUUCAAGUUUCUGUCAGGCAAGAGACAGCCAGAGUUCUGGGAAAUUUGGGGUGGGCAUAUAUGCAAAAAGGGAAUUUUAUGGCAGCGGAAGUUAUAUAUAAGAAAGCCCAAAUGAUUGAUGCAGACAGCAAUAAGGCCUGUAAUCUGGCCCAUUGCCUAAUCAAGCAAGCCCGGUAUGAUGAGGCCCGCAAUAUUCUUGAAGAUGUUUGGAGAGCCAAUUAUGCAGGUUCUUAUGAUCCAAAGACAAAGAACCGAGUGGAGGAAUUGGUGUUGGAAUUGGACUCGAGGCAACCUCCACCAUUCUUGCAAAACCUUCCGGGCCUAAAUUUGGAUGAUGAUUUUGUUAAUGGGCUUGAGCAGCUAAUAAAUGCAUGGGCCCCUUCAAAAUCAAGAAGACUACCAAUAUUUGAGGAGAUCUCUACUUUCAAAGAUCAAUUGGCUUGUUGAUGAUUUUCAUGAUUUAGGUAGGAUUUGAAAUAUGUUUAGUCAUUCAAGUUAGGUGAAAAUAAAUAAACUAAGAGGUAUGAUAUGUGUAAAUUGUGAUGUAAAUGAGAUCUUUGGACAAAGUUUGGGGAAAUGAAUUGCUCUACUUUUCAUUGUUGGUUCAAA